ensembl:lncRNA
GAAAUAACACAGAAGAAUGAUCACCUCAAAAGCACGGACCAUUCCUUAAUGGGCUGGCAGUGAAAAAUCAGUAUGAGUUUUACUUUGGAGAAUUUACUGUGAAAAGGACAGAGGGAGACAACUGUGUCCUGUUACAAAACCAGGACAUUGCUGUUGUACAGAAUGUGGUCGUCAAUGAAAUGGGCAACACUUUCGUAGUCUACAAGAGGUUCAGGAAAAUGGUUGAUUUCUUCACCUACCCCUUUGCCGUCUUCCAAGAUAGGCAUUUUUCACCUCUCUGGAUUAUCAGAUAAUCUCCUCUUCACCAACGCUACGAAUGUGCUGAAGAAUUCUUCUUCCUUGCCAGAAUGGAUAAGCUGGCUUUCCAUUGAGCCACUUGUAGACAUGGCAUAGCCCUGUUUGUUUCUGUUCGCCCCUCACAAGAUCAAGAAGUUUGCUGUAAUUCAGUUCCUGGAUGAAAAGAACGAGCCAUAUGCAGUAGCUCUACAAAGGAUGUGCUGGGGAUGACAAUGAGAUGAGGGACGACAUUCAUGGGGGAACAUACCACUGCUCUUUCAACAACGCAUCUUUUAAAGAUGAAGAGGAGGAGAAGGUGGAUAAAGAACAGAUGAAGACACCGGCAGUUUGAUGUUGAGUAGUAUUCACACAAGACUGGAAGUCAGAUAUAAUCCAAGUACAGAUGAACACAGCACCAACCAUAGCUUGCUUGUUAGUUUUGAUUGUCAGAGGUAAAGCUUGACAUUUUUUGGUGUGUAUUGUAUCAUUUAAGUUUCAGAGAACAAUUAAACCACUGAAUUAGCUACAUGGUUUGGUAAUUAGUUAAACUAACUUCCACCAAACCAAUAAAAAAAAUGAUGUUCAACUUGUAGCUACUUCCGAAACUGCCGACCAUGUUGGCUUAAACCCAAACGUCUUCCACACCAAUGUGUGAGGUGUUUCUCCACUACCCAGAAGCACCCAGGGGGUAUUUGAGAUCCAGUCAGGAAGGGCUGUGCCUCGCCUGUGGGAGUCACGCUACCUGUAUGGUGUGUCUGGACAUGUGUCCCAAACACUCCCAUGCUUGCCCCACGAGUGUGAGGUCAUCCCGGGGGAAAUACAGUAUAUUGGUGAGCCGGUUUCCUGUUUCAUGUUCUCAUCACAAGCUUUUUAGUUCAGGAGUAGACUUAAUGAAAGCUAGACUUUAUACCAUAGAGCAUUUAAUGCCUGGAAAAAGCCAUUUUGGAUCCAAAGAGCACCUUUUUACAUAAAAAUGUUCAAUUUUCCCUAUUCUCUCUCAUCUUUCCUGUGCUCCCGGGAUGGGCUCCUCCCUCCCCAGAGCCCCUGUGCCCUCAGAUGAGCACCAACGAGCAGCUUGGACCAGAGUCUGAGUAUCUUGUUGUCUACGAUACACAGAGAGGUAUAGAAAGUGUCAAUCACUGAGCGGCUCUUGCCUGGCACAGAUAUAGCAUACAGUAUGUUUUAAUAUGAAGGACUGCUUUCACGAACACAGAUUAAAUCUAGUCCUGGACUAAGAUACACUUUCAAUUGAGAUUCUCCAGCGAGCAGGAUUUAAGUCCAGGACGAGGCUUACUCUGUUUCUACUAUGGCAGUGGUUCUCAAAGUGGGGUCCGUGGACCUCUGGGGCCAGAUGUCAAAAUACAUUAUUUUUUAUAUAUAUUUUUUUUACAUCAGAUUUAAAAAAAAAAUGUUUUACUAAUAACAGAUUAAACAAGUUUUGGCCAAGAGAUACUUGAAAUAAAUUUAGAGGGUAUAAUACAAUAUAAUAUGAUUCAUCUCC